rnacentral:rRNA from 1 species
UGGGGAAUCUUGCGCAAUGGUCUAACGACUGACGCAGCGACGCCGCGUGUGGGAGGACGCCUUUCGGGGUGUAAACCACUGUUGCCCGGGACGAACUCGCUCUUUCGAGGGCGUUGACGGUACCGGGUGAGGAAGCACCGGCUAACUCCGUGCCAGCAGCCGCGGUAAUACGGAGGGUGCGAGCGUUGUCCGGAAUCAUUGGGCGUAAAGGGCGCGUAGGUGGCCCGGUCAGUCUUUGGUGAAAGCGCGGGGCUCAACCCUGCGUCGGCCAGGGAUACUGCCGCGGCUCGAGCACUGUAGAGGCAGGCGGAAUUCCGGGUGUAGCGGUGGAAUGCGUAGAGAUCCGGAAGAACACCGGUGGCGAAGGCGGCCUGCUGGGCAGUAUGGCUGACACUGAGGCGCGACAGCGUGGGGAGCAAACAG